UAAGUGAAAGCCAAAGCGUGCGGCGCCUAGCUGUUAAUUAGGAGAGUGUGAAGGAAAUCACUCACUUAG
rnacentral:tRNA from 1 species